UAUCAUGCAUGUGGGAAGGUGGGUGUGGUGAGAAAAGUUUUAAGGCAAGAGUAGAUGGCCAUGUUCAACUUUACAAAAUUUCUUGGAAAACUGGCAGUAUUUUGAACUGCAUCUUCUUUGGUACCGGAACCUGCAGAAACAGUGUGAGAAAUUAAGUCCUGGUUCACUGCGCAGUAGCAAAGAUGGUCAAGGCCAUGGAAAAAGCAGAAAUUUACCAAGAAAGCUGAUACCCAUGUAUAGUUCCCACUCAUCUCAAAUACAUCUGCUAUCUUUUUAAGCUAAGUCCUAGACAUAUCGGGGAUAACAUGGGGGUUGAUUAGUGACCACAGUUAUCAGAAGCAGAGAAAUGUAAUUCCAUAUUUUAUUUGAAACUUAUUCCAUAUUUUAAUUGGAUAUUGAGUGAUUGGGUUAUCAAACACCCACAAACUUUAAUUUUGUUAAAUUUAUAUGGCUUUGAAAUAGAAGUAUAAGUUGCUACCAUUUUUUGAUAACAUUGAAAGAUAGUAUUUUACCAUCUUUAAUCAUCUUGGAAAAUACAAGUCCUGUGAACAACCACUCUUUCACCUAGCAGCAUGAGGCCAAAAGUAAAGGCUUUAAAUUAUAACAUAUGGGAUUCUUAGUAGUAUGUUUUUUUCUUGAAACUCAGUGGCUCUAUCUAACCUUACUAUCUCCUCACUCUUUCUCUAAGACUAAACUCUAGGCUCUUAAAAAUCUGCCCACACCAAUCUUAGAAGCUCUGAAAAGAAUUUGUCUUUAAAUAUCUUUUAAUAGUAACAUGUAUUUUAUGGACCAAAUUGACAUUUUCGACUAUUUUUUCCAAAAAAGUCAGGUGAAUUUCAGCACACUGAGUUGGGAAUUUCUUAUCCCAGAAGACCAACCAAUUUCAUAUUUAUUUAAGAUUGAUUCCAUACUCCGUUUUCAAGGAGAAUCCCUGCAGUCUCCUUAAAGGUAGAACAAAUACUUUCUAUUUUUUUUUCACCAUUGUGGGAUUGGACUUUAAGAGGUGACUCUAAAAAAACAGAGAACAAAUAUGUCUCAGUUGUAUUAAGCACGGACCCAUAUUAUCAUAUUCACUUAAAAAAAUGAUUUCCUGUGCACCUUUUGGCAACUUCUCUUUUCAAUGUAGGGAAAAACUUAGUCACCCUGAAAACCCACAAAAUAAAUAAAACUUGUAGAUGUGGGCAGAAGGUUUGGGGGUGGACAUUGUAUGUGUUUAAAUUAAACCCUGUAUCACUGAGAAGCUGUUGUAUGGGUCAGAGAAAAUGAAUGCUUAGAAGCUGUUCACAUCUUCAAGAGCAGAAGCAAACCACAUGUCUCAGCUAUAUUAUUAUUUAUUUUUUAUGCAUAAAGUGAAUCAUUUCUUCUGUAUUAAUUUCCAAAGGGUUUUACCCUCUAUUUAAAUGCUUUGAAAAACAGUGCAUUGACAAUGGGUUGAUAUUUUUCUUUAAAAGAAAAAUAUAAUUAUGAAAGCCAAGAUAAUCUGAAGCCUGUUUUAUUUUAAAACUUUUUAUGUUCUGUGGUUGAUGUUGUUUGUUUGUUUGUUUCUAUUUUGUUGGUUUUUUACUUUGUUUUUUGUUUUGUUUUGUUUUGUUUUGCAUACUACAUGCAGUUCUUUAACCAAUGUCUGUUUGGCUAAUGUAAUUAAAGUUGUUAAUUUAUAUGAGUGCAUUUCAACUAUGUCAAUGGUUUCUUAAUAUUUAUUGUGUAGAAGUACUGGUAAUUUUUUUAUUUACAAUAUGUUUAAAGAGAUAACAGUUUGAUAUGUUUUCAUGUGUUUAUAGCAGAAGUUAUUUAUUUCUAUGGCAUUCCAGCGGAUAUUUUGGUGUUUGCGAGGCAUGCAGUCAAUAUUUUGUACAGUUAGUGGACAGUAUUCAGCAACGCCUGAUAGCUUCUUUGGCCUUAUGUUAAAUAAAAAGACCUGUUUGGGAUGU
rnacentral:lncRNA from 1 species